rnacentral:rRNA from 1 species
CGUUAAGUCCUGCGCCUAGGGAGUACGGUCGCAAGACUGAAACUCAAAGGAAUUGACGGGGGCCCGCACAAGCGGUGGAACAUGUGGUUCAAUUCGACGCUACGCGAGGAACCUUACCUGGGCUCGAAAUGCUGGUGACCAGCUGUAGAAAUACGGCCUUCCCGCAAGGGACACCAGUAUAGGCGCUGCAUGGCUGUCGUCAGCUCGUGCCGUGAGGUGUUGGGUUAAGUCCCGCAACGAGCGCAACCCUUACACGUAGUUGCCACCCGCAAGGGGGAACUCUACGUGGACUGCUCCGGAUAACGGAGAGGAAGGUGGGGAUGACGUCAAGUCCGCAUGGCCUUUAUGUCCAGGGCUACACACGUGUUACAAUGCGCGGUACAAACCGUUGCCAACCCGCGAGGGGGAGCUAAUCGGAAAAAACCGCGCUCAGUUCGGAUUGCAGUCUGCAAUUUGACUGCAUGAAGCCGGAAUCGCUAGUAAUGGCGUAUCAGAUCGACGCCGUGAAUACGUUCCCGGGCCUUGUACACACCGCCCGUCACAUCACCAAAGUGAGCUGUACUAGAAGUCGCCGAGCUAACCGCAAGGAGGCAGGCGCCCAAGGUAUGAC